rnacentral:rRNA from 1 species
AACGAACGCUGGCGGCAGGCUUAACACAUGCAAGUCGAACGCAUCGCAAGAUGAGUGGCAGACGGGUGAGUAACGCGUGGGAUCAUACCCUUUUCUACGGAAUAGCUCUGGGAAACUGGAAUUAAUACCGUAUACGCCCUACGGGGGAAAGAUUUAUCGGGGAAGGAUUGGCCCGCGUUGGAUUAGCUAGUUGGUGGGGUAAAGGCCUACCAAGGCGACGAUCCAUAGCUGGUCUGAGAGGAUGAUCAGCCACAUUGGGACUGAGACACGGCCCAAAUUCCUACGGGAGGCAGCAGUGGGGAAUAUUGGACAAUGGGCGCAAGCCUGAUCCAGCCAUGCCGCGUGAGUGAUGAAGGCCUUAGGGUUGUAAAGCUCUUUCACCGAUGAAAAUAAUGACGGUAGUCGGAGAAGAAGCCCCGGCUAACUUCGUGCCAGCAGCCGCCGUAAUAC